GACGAACGCUGGCGGCGUGCUUAACACAUGCAAGUCGAACGGAAAGGCCCUGCUUUUGUGGGGUGCUCGAGUGGCGAACGGGUGAGUAACACGUGAGUAACCUGCCCUUGACUUUGGGAUAACUUCAGGAAACUGGGGCUAAUACCGGAUAGGAGCUCCUGCUGCAUGGUGGGGGUUGGAAAGUUUCGGCGGUUGGGGAUGGACUCGCGGCUUAUCAGCUUGUUGGUGGGGUAGUGGCGUACCAAGGCUUUGACGGGUAGCCGGCCUGGGAGGGUGACCGGCCACAUUGGGACUGAGAUACGGCCCAGACGCCUACGGGAGGCAGCGGGGGGGAAUAUUGCACAAGGGGCGGAAGCCUGAUGCAGCAACGCCGCGUGCGGGAUGACGGCCUUCGGGUUGUAAACCGCUUUCGCCUGUGACGAAGCGUGAGUGACGGUAAUGGGUAAAGAAGCACCGGCUAACUACGUG
rnacentral:rRNA from 1 species